rnacentral:rRNA from 1 species
CCGCGUGAGGGAUGACGGCCUUCGGGUUGUAAACCUCUUUCAGCAGGGACGAAGCGCAAGUGACGGUACCUGCAGAAGAAGCACCGGCCAACUACGUGCCAGCAGCCGCGGUAAUACGUAGGGUGCAAGCGUUGUCCGGAAUUACUGGGCGUAAAGAGCUCGUAGGCGGUUUGUCGCGUCGUCUGUGAAAACCAGCAGCUCAACUGUUGGCUUGCAGGCGAUACGGGCAGACUUGAGUAUUUCAGGGGAGACUGGAAUUCCUGGUGUAGCGGUGAAAUGCGCAGAUAUCAAGAGGAACACCGGUGGCGAAGGCGGGUCUCUGGGAAAUAACUGACGCUGAGGAGCGAAAGCGUGGGUAGCGAACAGGAUUAGAUACCCUGGUAGUCCACGCCGUAAACGGUGGGCGCUAGGUGUGGGUUUCCUUCCACGGGAUCCGUGCCGUAGCUAACGCAUUAAGCGCCCCGCCUGGGGAGUACGGCCGCAAGGCUAAAACUCAGAGGAAUUGACGGGGGCCCGCACAAGCGGCGGAGCAUGUGGAUUAAUUCGAUGCAACGCGAAGAACCUUACCUGGGUUUGACAUACACCGGAGAACCGUAGAGAUACGGUCCCCCCUUGUGGUC